GACGAACGCUGGCGGCGUGCUUAACACAUGCAAGUCGUACGGUAAGGCCCUUUCGGGGGUACACGAGUGGCGAACGGGUGAGUAACACGUGAGUAACCUGCCCACAACUUGGGGAUAACGCUAGGAAACUGGUGCUAAUACUGGAUAUGUGCUCCUGCUGCAUGGUGGGGGUUGGAAAGCUCCGGCGGUUGUGGAUGGACUCGCGGCCUAUCAGCUUGUUGGUGGGGUAGUGGCCUACCAAGGCGGCGACGGGUAGCCGGCCUGAGAGAGUGACCGGCCACAUUGAGACUGAGGUGCGGCCCAGACUCCUACGGGAGGAAGAAGUGGGGAAGAUUGAACAAUGGGCGCAGGCCUGAUGCAGCAACGCCGCGUGCGGGAUGACGGCCUUGGGGUUGUAAACCGCUUUCAGCAGGGACGAAGCUUUUUGUGACGGUACCUGCAGAAGAAGCACCGGCUAACUACGUG
rnacentral:rRNA from 1 species